UACGUAGGGUGCAAGCGUUGUCCGGAAUUAUUGGGCGUAAAGAGCUCGUAGGCGGUUUGUCGCGUCUGCUGUGAAAACCCGAGGCUCAACCUCGGAUCUGCGGUGGGUACGGGCAGACUAGAGUACUGCAGGGGAGACUGGAAUUCCUGGUGUAGCGGUGAAAUGCGCAGAUAUCAGGAGGAACACCGGUGGCGAAGGCGGGUCUCUGGGCAGUAACUGACGCUGGAGGAGCGAAAGCGUGGGGAGCAAACAGG
rnacentral:rRNA from 1 species